GGGGAUGUUCUGGAUUCGACAUGUGUAAUAGCGUGUGGGCCGCACUUCGUUUUUUUGGGUUCGUAAAACCAAUCAGUUUAAUUAUAACUGCAAAAAAUAAUAAUUCUUACGCUCUAGCUGCUUAAUAACAGUCUAGGCGUGAUCCGACCUGGUUUCGCUCAAGGGCCAGAAUUGGGUCUCAAAUUAAUUGAGCUACGUUUAACUAUCCCUUCUGAAUAGCUAAAAAGAGACUUAUCAGAAUAGUCAUUGUGGCUUGCCUUGUUGUACGGCGUUCACGGUGGCAAAACUUUAAAUAGUAUAACUAUGAGUGUAGAAGUUUACAUAGCAUUAUGCUUGGACAGGGGUUCGAUUCCCCUCAUCUCCAUUU
rnacentral:tmRNA from 1 species